CCUACUAUAAAAAUUUAUGAUAAUCUUAUCACCUUCAUUUUGUUGAUGAAGUCAUGUAACUCUUGACACAGUAUUGAUUGAAUGAAAUAUAAAAUCAUGAAAGGAAUGACUUUAUGUGAGGGCUAUAGCUGGUGGUACAUAGAGGAGUGACUCAUGCUAGCGUUAUCCUUUUCUUAGUACCAUGUUGUUUUCCACAAGUCAGGAAAAUCCUCAAAAUGCAGUCUUAAUCUUUGAUUCCUUCCUAAAAGGAGAAAACACAUCAAAUCCAGAUCAUGCAUCCUCCAGUGAAGUAGAACACAUUUUGGUGGCUUAAAGAAGUAGUGUGUGCCAAAUGUCCUUGUUCCCCAAUAACAUCACAAACUACAGAAAAUGCAAAAGACCAGACUUGGUAAUUCAGAACAUAGGAAACAUCUGAGAAGACCAAAUACAAAUAUGUUGACAGGUAAGUUUAUGAUUUGAGAAGGAAUAGUUUUGCCUAG
rnacentral:lncRNA from 12 species